AGGGACAAGUUAAAGAGGUCGUGUGUGCGUGAUUCUGGAAGUGGUUUUGUUUCGAGGGUUAUCUGAGUUUAUGCACGGGGAAUCAGAUUUAUAUAUCUUCAGGCCGAGAAGAAUUAAACCGAGCUUAUAGACCAAGGAUCUAGCCCAAGACGGUAGGGAUCGAGUUCCCGGUGCCUGAUAGACUGCCUUAGACUACUGAAGCUCCAUUAUCAAUUGCCAAUAAUUGAAUUUGAAGAUAGAGAGAAAGAAGAAGAAGUUGAAAAUAGAAGCCAGGAAGACAAAACAAAACGAAGCCAGAUUCAAUUGAGAAAUAUUGUAAUCGUUGAAGAAAAAAAAGAGAAAAACAAGGGAAAGAAAAUACAAAAGAUACAACAAAAGGAAAACAAAAGUUGAUUGAAAAAGAUGAGGUUGAUAAUAACGAAACUAAAACUUAAGUAGAAAUUGACACUGAUAGUAGUCAAGAAUCACAAGAAGAAAUUGACACUGAUAGUAGUCAAAAACCACAAGAAGUUGAAACAAAAGGAAAAAAGAGAGAAAUUAAAGAAAUGCAAAAGGAACAUAAUGUUAGUCAACAAAAAAAAGACAAAAGCCUCAACACAAGAAGAAAGCAACAAGAAAAACGAAAGAAGAAUGUCAACAGAAAAAUACAUUGAUAUGACUUCAUCCUUCGACCUACAAAUUUCUUAAUAUUUUAGAGAUGAUUUAUAGUGUUUGUAAAGCUUCAAAUCUUUAAAUUUAAAUUUUGAAAAUUUCA